rnacentral:rRNA from 1 species
UACGAAGGGGGCUAGCGUUGUUCGGAGUUACUGGGCGUAAAGCGCGCGCAGGCGGUCCUUCAAGUCAGGGGUGAAAGCCCAGGGCUCAACCCUGGAAUGGCCUUUGAGACUAGAGGACUUGGGUACGGGAGAGGUGAGUGGAAUUCCGAGUGUAGAGGUGAAAUUCGUAGAUAUUCGGAAGAACACCAGUGGCGAAGGCGGCUCACUGGCCCGUUACCGACGCUCAGGCGCGACAGCGUGGGGAGCAAACAGG